GUGAGUCAUCGAAUCUUUGAACGCAUAUUGCGCCCUUUGGUAUUCCGAAGGGCAUGCCUGUUCGAGCGUCAUUAUCAAAGCAUCAAGCUUGGCUUGUCGUUGGGCCCUUUAUCACCUGGUGAUAGGUCCAAAAGAUAAUGAGCGGUGCCGUAAGGACUCUAUAUGCAACAAGCUUCUAAUAGCACGCAUGUAGUGGUCGUAUGGCCCGGUUUACCCCUCUAUUUCUCAAGGUUGACCUCGGAUCAGGUAGGAAUACCCGCUGAACUUAAGCAUAUCAAUAAGCGGAGGA
rnacentral:misc_RNA from 1 species